AGACUAACAAGGACCCCCCUAGUCACUGCNAGUGAAGCGGGAAGAGCUCAAAUUUAAAAUCUGGCGGUCUUUGGCCGUCCGAGUUGUACUCUGGAGAAGUGCUUUCCGUGCCGGACCGUGUACAAGUCUCUUGGAACAGAGCGUCGUAGAGGGUGAGAAUCCCGUCUUUGACACGGACUACCGGUGCUUUGUGAUGCGCUCUCAGAGAGUCGAGUUGUUUGGGAAUGCAGCKCAAAAUGGGUGGUAAAUUCCAUCUAAAGCUAAAUAUUGGCGAGAGACCGAUAGCUCACAAGUACCGCGAGGGAAAGGUGAAAAGCACCUUGGAAAGAGAGUGAAACAGAUGUGAAAGCGCUAUCAGGGAAAGGUUGGCUAGCGCUGUCGUCCGUCCGUCACGCUUCACGGCGUGGCGGCGACGCGUCAGGACCCAUUGGGACCGGGAUAAACGGGGGUGAGGGAAUCGGCCCUUCGGGGUGUUGCAACCUCGCCUCACGAGCGCUCGGGAUCGAUGCGGAGAUAGGCACACGGCAACGUUGUGCCUUC
rnacentral:rRNA from 1 species